GCCGAUUGGUUCCUGCGCUGGAGGCUGACUAGUCCGGCACAGAAAAGCCUGUGGUUGAAACUGCCAGCCCUGUCUGCCCAGGGCAGCCUACUGUCCAAGUUACAGAAUUCCAGCCUGGUGUUUGCAGAUUGUGUUAAUUGACAGAAAUAAUUACAAUGCUGUUUGAAAGCAGAACCAAGAACCCUUGGCAACCCCAGGCACAUCCCUCAGCACACAGUCUCACUCCUACCUUCAAACAGGAGUCAAGACAAAGGAAUUUCCUUGAGACUGAGUCCACCUAUAGGGUAUAUUGGAAGACUUGGAUGGAAAAUAAGGUUUACACAUUCUGCAACAAGACCAUCUACUAGCCUGGAACGUAUGCCUUGGAUCUCAGAGAAAUACCUAUCUGAUUGCUUUGAGUCUAUUUGUUGUAACAGCCAUUAUUUCC